UACGUAGGGUGCGAGCGUUGUCCGGAAUUAUUGGGCGUAAAGAGCUCGUAGGCGGUCUGUCGCGUCUGCUGUGAAAACCCGAGGCUCAACCUCGGGCCUGCAGUGGGUACGGGCAGACUAGAGUGCGGUAGGGGAGAAUGGAAUUCCUGGUGUAGCGGUGGAAUGCGCAGAUAUCAGGAGGAACACCCGUAGCGAAGGCGGCACUCUGGGCCGGAACUGACGCUGAGGAGCGAAAGCGUGGGGAGCAAACAGG
rnacentral:rRNA from 1 species